rfam:Branchiostoma floridae genomic scaffold BRAFLscaffold_32, whole genome shotgun sequence.
UGUUUCAACUGUUGCAUCUUGCUGCCUUUAGAACCUUCCAUCCAUAAAGCAGCAGUAUGCAAUGGUGAAAAC